AUCCCAAGUCUUAUUGAAAGCAAAUAUUGAAUGUACAUAUAGUAUUUAUAUAGCUCAGUGCUAAAUAUUAGGGCGCGCGCCCUAAUAUUUAGCACUGAGCUAUAUAAAUACUAUAUGUACAUUCAAUAUUUGCUUUCAAUAAGACCCGGGAUGGGCUCCCUGUGGUAUAUCCAAUCAGAAACCCCUGUACGAACCAAAGGUCGUGCGCUUUUGUCACAAGACUUGAAAUAUUUCAUUUCAGUCUUUUCAGAUCAAAUUCUUGUCGGGACAAGACGCUC